rnacentral:lncRNA from 1 species
CAAAAGCCUAGACACAGGCUGCAAUGGGAGAUAUUGCAUGGUGGUCAAGCUGUCACCAUGGUAUAUAUUAUAUCAUGAGACCACCAAUCUCACCAGGGUGUGUGGUGGGUUUUUCUUUGUUUUGUUUUUUUUCUUCAAAUGCCACAUCUGGUCAUGCCAAUCCCUAAUGUUAGAAACUUAGGGUAUGUCUUCUUGACAACUUUUUUUUUUUUUUUUUUCUUGGUAAAUGUUAUAAUUUUGUAUUAAAGAAAUAGAUUGCGAUGGAGCGAAAUGACAACCCAACAUUGACCCAAAAUAACUUGGAUGGGCUGGUUUGGAGAUGAACAAUACCUACACCAUUUCAGGAUAGCACUCUGCCAAGAGGGUGUAUGUUGGGCCUACUCACCAGCAAAAUUCAAAUGUACUUUUUUUUUUUUUUUUUUCUUUAAGAUCUCAAAACCAAUUUAGUUGACUUUCCUUUCCCCCCUCCCUCCACAAAUAAGAGGACACGAUUGGAAAUGCCACCGAAACACACACACACACACUGUGAAUUCUCAGGGACAAAUGAUCAAAUUAUCUGUAACCAGUUAUUGAAAACUGGAAGAUUUGUAACAGUUUUUGUUUUCAAUGGCCUGGUGGUAUGUUUGUCCCUUUUUUGUGUGUUCCAAGAUACUUGAAACGCUUCAUAGCUCAAACCUUUUUUUGGUGGUGGCUUUUUAUAUUUUGCAGGUUAUCAAAUGGUUGCUGGUGGUUACAUUUUUGGACAAGCAACCUUUUUUGCAAAUAUUGCUGUUUUAUGUUGGAGUAUAAUUUUUUUUUUUUUUAAUAUAUAAAUACAUGUUUCAUUCAUAUGACUCUCGGGGUUGUCUGCCAUUUUUGAAUUCUAUUGAAUGACUGCAGAGAAUCCUGGGUAGGCACAUAUUAAUGAGCACAUGGCCCUUGUCCUUAUUUGGUAGUAAGCAAUUGUACUGUCUUGUUUAGAGCCCAGAGACUGGCUUGUUUUUGUUGUAUUGUGUGUGUAUAUGGGUUUUUUUUUUUUUUUUUUUUUCCUCCCCUGACAGAGUUCACUGGCUGUAUUUCCUCAAGGUCAUUUCUGCAAGAUAUUUUGCACAGCAGAGGUUAAUUUUUUUUUUUCUUUAAGGCAGAUCUGAAAUUUGUUCCUAGGUAUGCAGCAUCUAAACACUAAGAUCUGUCUUGUUAAUUUGGCACUCAUUUGGGUCCCUUUUUGGAAAUCCCUGGAAGUGAAAUUGAUAUGUUUGCUAUUCUAAACUUUAAUGCCCGCUUAUGUAUUAAACUCUUGAUGCAAAGCUGACAUAAGCUAAUGGGACUAAAUCCUAUCCUCAGGGGCUGCAGAUACUUGCUUGGGGUUGGAUAACUACACAAAUGUAAUUUUUUUUUUUUUUUUUUUUCACAUCCUUGGUAUAAAAUCUGUGCAACAAAUGAAAUGUCUUUUUGAAACGUGUUAAUUUUAACCUCCCAAGAUGUGCUGUGAGUAAUGUGUCUGGUGCAAACUUCUCUGGCAGCUUUAUAUAUAUUUUAUAUAUUUUUUUUUUUUAAAUCUUGGUGUACGAUCUUGCCUUACCUUCUGGUAUGUGAUGUAGAAGAUUAGCCUGUUACUAUACCAGUGUGUUGUUGUGUUUUUUUUUUUUUGUUUUUUUUUUGUUUUGUUUUUUUCAUAACGAAUAGUUUGAGUCUUGGUUGUCUGUAGCUUUGCAAAACAUGAGUUGAGUAUGUAUUUAGAUUCAAAACUAGCUAAUGCGAAUGAUAAAAUGGGUGCUUUUAAAUAUUUUUUUUUCCAUUGCUCAUAACUGCAAUUUCAGCUCUUAUAACUGGAGGUGCUGACAGGCAAUUAUAAGUAGCUUUGUCUGAAAGUAUACUUUUGUCAAAACGUGGUAUAUGCAGCUGCCUAUUUUAAUCUGGUAUGCAUGUCAAAAUACCACUGUGGUACUGUAAAAGCAUUGAUGUGCUGCAGUGUAACCAUACUUUGCAGGAAAUAAAAAGUUGGUAUGUAAAAAAAAAAAAAAAAGCUUAGACAUUUCUUGAAAUAUGGUCAGGAGCCCAUUUAAAAAGCAUUAUUUAAUUUUAUGUAAUAUAAUAUUACUCUUGACUUGGAUACAAAAUCAUCCAACACCUAAAUGUAUGCUGUUCAGACAAAUUGAAAAGAUAACUGCCUUCCUACUGGAAGAAAGUAAUUUAAACCAGAAUCUAAAUUAUUGGCGGGCAUAACCUUGUGUUUUUCUGCCUGAUACAACUGCCAAAAUUUCUUUUGAUAUUAAAUUUUAGUUUUGCAUGUUCUGUGUUUGCCUAUGUAAAUACAGCUAAAUGAAAAAUUUUCAAUGUGGAAGUCAGUCCUUGAAGGGAUACAUUUAUUUUACAUUGUGGCUUUUCCCCCCCAUCUCCUCUCUUCUUAUCAUGCUGCUGGGUCUUGUUUCAAGGCAUCAUGAUUUACACAAAGCUGUGCUGCAGUGUGUUGGUUAGAUACAGACAACCAUUUUCAACCUCGCCGCACAACUGAAACAAUGAUUUAUUUUUCUUUUUUUCUUAUAUAUAAAUAUUGCAGCUAUAUACGGUGGUGAAGGUAUUGCCAUGUAAGCUACCAAAACUAAUGGUCAAAUUAUGAUCAAAUGGUCAUUGGAAAGUGUACCCUUCGUAACGAAGUGCUAAUAAUUGUGUUCCUGUAUUUUCAGGAUUUAAGAGUGUAUAAAUAAAUGUGAUUUCAUACA